rnacentral:rRNA from 1 species
AUUGAACGCUGGCGGCAGGCCUAACACAUGCAAGUCGAGCGAGCGGGGGACGGGUGAGUAAUGUAUGGGGAUCUGCCUGAUGGAGGGGGAUAACUACUGGAAACGGUCGCUAAUACCGCAUACCCUCAGAUGAACCCAUAUGGGAUUAGCUUGUAGGUGGGGUAACGGCUCACCUAGGCGACGAUCCCUAGCUGGUCUGAGAGGAUGCACAGCCACACGGGGACGGAGACACGGCCCAGACUCCUACGGGAGGCAGCAGUGGGGAAUAUUGCACAAUGGGCGCAAGCCUGAUGCAGCCAUGCCGCGUGUAUGAAGAAGGCCUUCGGGUUGUAAAGUACUUUCAGUCGGGAGGCGUUACCGACAGAAGAAGCACCGGCUAACUCCGUGCCAGCAGCCGCGGUAAUAC